rnacentral:rRNA from 1 species
CAUGCAAGUCGAGGGGCAGCAUGAUUUGUAGCAAUACAGAUUGAUGGCGACCGGCGCACGGGUGAGUAACGCGUAUGCAACUUACCUAUCAGAGGGGGAUAGCCCGGCGAAAGUCGGAUUAAUACCCCAUAAAACAGGGGUCCCGCAUGGGAAUAUUUGUUAAAGAUUCAUCGCUGAUAGAUAGGCAUGCGUUCCAUUAGGCAGUUGGCGGGGUAACGGCCCACCAAACCGACGAUGGAUAGGGGUUCUGAGAGGAAGGUCCCCCACAUUGGUACUGAGACACGGACCAAACUCCUACGGGAGGCAGCAGUGAGGAAUAUUGGUCAAUGGCCGAGAGGCUGAACCAGCCAAGUCGCGUGAAGGAAGAAGGAUCUAUGGUUUGUAAACUUCUUUUAUAGGGGAAUAAAGUGGAGGACGUGUCCUUUUUUGUAUGUACCCUAUGAAUAAGCAUCGGCUAACUCCGUGCCAGCAGCCGCGGUAAUACGGAGGAUGCGAGCGUUAUCCGGAUUUAUUGGGUUUAAAGGGUGCGUAGGUGGUGAUUUAAGUCAGCGGUGAAAGUUUGUGGCUCAACCAUAAAAUUGCCGUUGAAACUGGGUUGCUUGAGUGUGUUUGAGGUAGGCGGAAUGCGUGGUGUAGCGGUGAAAUGCAUAGAUAUCACGCAGAACUCCGAUUGCGAAGGCAGCUUACUAAACCAUAACUGACACUGAAGCACGAAAGCGUGGGGAUCAAACAGGAUUAGAUACCCUGGUAGUCCACGCAGUAAACGAUGAUUACUAGG